rnacentral:rRNA from 1 species
GAUGAACGCUGGCGGCGUGCUUAACACAUGCAAGUCGAACGGUGAAGCAGGAGCUUGCUCUUGUGGAUCAGUGGCGAACGGGUGAGUAACACGUGAGCAACCUGCCCCUGACUCUGGGAUAAGCGCUGGAAACGGCGUCUAAUACUGGAUAUGUGAUGUGACCGCAUGGUCUGCAUCUGGAAAGAAUUUCGGUUGGGGAUGGGCUCGCGGCCUAUCAGCUUGUUGGUGAGGUAAUGGCUCACCAAGGCGUCGACGGGUAGCCGGCCUGGGAGGGUGACCGGCCACACUGGGACUGAGACACGGCCCAGACUUCUACGGGAGGCAGCAGGGGGGAAUAUUGCACAAUGGGCGGAAGCCUGAUGCAGCAACGCCGCGUGAGGGAUGACGGCCUUCGGGUUGUAGACCUCUUUUAGCAGGGAAGAAGCGAAAGUGACGGUACCUGCAGAAAAAGCACCGGCUAACUACGUGCCAGCCGCCGCCGUAA